rnacentral:tRNA from 1 species
GAGUGUAUAGCUCAGUGGUAGAGCCCAUGCUUAGUGUGCGCAGGGUCCUGGGUUCAAUCCCCCGUACAUCCA